AUAUAUAUAUAUAUAUACAUGGGGUGUAAAUAGAAGACGCCUAUCUUUAGAAGGCUGCUGCUCGGAAGAAGCGGACUGUCCGGAUACUUCCAUUGGCACAUGAGACGCAGAUCCACUCAGGAUUGUCAGAAAUGUAGUUACCAUGGUGACACUGACUAGUUGAGAACAGGUUCUACCCCGAAACUUUCUCAACCCAAACCAUGUGCACUGGUGGUGGAAAACGAAUUAUUUUUUCUACAGACCAUACUGUAAGGACCUCCAGACUAUCCUGCCCCCAUCUAGAUAAAUGUAUUUAUUAAUGAUUUAGUUUAACUUUUGCUCGCAACUUAGAGCCAUACAUGAAGGAUUAUUCAUAGUAAGGUUAAGAUAUUUGCCGCUUUGUGUAUAAUUAGAAUAACUUCAUACCCACAGAAGAUUAUAUGGUGUGCGCUGCGCAAGCUGUCUGCUAUUUCCAAACCAAGGAAUCUAAAACUGAUUUUCAAGUGUUUGUGUUUGAGCUUCUUAUUACAUGUAGAAAUUAUGUUAUAAUAAACAGAUUGGAUCUUAACAGGUUUUUUUUAAAAAAGAAUCCAAAAUAUAUUAUUGAUAAUAUAUUAUAUUCCUUUUCAAAAGACCUCAUAAGAAGUGCCGGUCUUUCACCUUCGUGAUGAUAAAUUUCAAAGCCGAAACAUUAACUUUAGUCUUUAUGCAGCAACAUGAGCUUUUCUUUGGAUUUUGCAAUUAAUUUAUCAUAAUCAUGCGUCCGGGAUAAAAUAAUAAUUUUAUAAAUGUAAUUAAAUUAAAGGAAUCACCUAAAUUAAGCCUGAAUGCAAUACUAUGACGUUGUUUGAACAAAACCUGAUUUAGGCAGGAUAACUGUGUUAAGUUUUAAGUAAACCUGAUAAAAACCUAUUUAGCUGUAGACCUCAUUUAAGACAAUGUGGUUUGGAGAAGGUGUGCGUUGACUGUGCGAGAAGGUCCAGGAUUUACCUAGUUACCCCUCAUCUCUUCGAUAAAUGAUCCUUUGAGAUGAGGUAGCCUAAAACCUUGUAAAUAGUCAGGCCUGCAUUCAGGUGCCAUUUAGUGUGUUAAGAAGUAUUUAUUGUUGGACUGAAGGCUUUUUCUACAAGUAAUUUGAACUUCUAUAGAGUAGAACUGUUGAUUGUCUGCUUGCAGGACGUCUGCGCUUUUGUCCAUUUUCUGACGCCGUACCGACGCCCACCACCGAUGAUCUCACCGAUGAUGAGUGUUGAGCGGUCCUGGGCAGUGUUGCCAGACUGGGCAGAAAAUCUGGCCCAAUCUGGCAACACUGGUCCUGGGAUGGAUUGCAACGUCUAAAGACAUAACUGUACAAUAAAACGCCACAAUAAAUAUAAUCCUGUUACAUUUGAAACUUCCGGUGUAUUCACAAUCUACAUGAACACAACUUAACUAGUAACGUUGCUCAUUUAAGUUUACAAUUCAGUUUCCCUCUCUUUAUUAAACUCCACUUGGUUAA
ensembl:lncRNA